rnacentral:rRNA from 1 species
ACGGGAGGCAGCAGUGGGGAAUAUUGCACAAUGGGCGCAAGCCUGAUGCACCAUGCCGCGUGUAUGAAGAAGGCCUUCGGGUUGUAAAGUACUUUCAGCGGGGAGGAAGGUGUUGUGGUUAAUAACCGCAGCAAUUGACGUUACCCGCAGAAGAAGCACCGGCUAACUCCGUGCCAGCAGCCGCGGUAAUACGGAGGGUGCAAGCGUUAAUCGGAAUUACUGGGCGUAAAGCGCACGCAGGCGGUCUGUCAAGUCGGAUGUGAAAUCCCCGGGCUCAACCUGGGAACUGCAUUGAAACUGGCAGGCUUGAGUCUUGUAGAGGGGGGUAGAAUUCCAGGUGUAGCGGUGAAAUGCGUAGAGAUCUGGAGGAAUACCGGUGGCGAAGGCGGCCCCCUGGACAAAGACUGACGCUCAGGUCGAAAGCGUGGGAG